UUCUCCGGUUGAUCCCGCCGGACCUGACUGCUAUCGGAUUGGUACUAGGCCAUGCUUGUCAUUGUAGCAAUACAAGGCGGACGGCUCAGUAACACGUAGUCAACCUAACUCGUGGACGUGGAUAACCUCGGGAAACUGAGAAUAAACCACGAUAGAUCAUAGUGCCUGGAAUGGCUUAUGGUCCAAACAGUUUACUGCCAUGGGAUGGGACUGCGGCCUAUCAGCUUGUUGGUGAGGUAAUGGCCCACCAAGGCGAUUACAGGUACGGGCUCUGAGAGGAGAAGCCCGGAGAUGGGUACUGAGACACGGACCCAGGCCCUAUGGGGCGCAGCAGGCGAGAAACCUUAGCAAUGUGCGAAAGCACGACUGGGUCAGUCCGAGUGAUUCCUGAUAAAGGAGUCUUUUGCUUGUCCUAAAAGCACAGGUGAAUAAGGGGUGGGCAAGUCUGGUGUCAGCCGCCGCGGUAAUACCAGCACCUCGAGUGGUCAGGACGUUUAUUGGGCCUAAAGCAUCCGUAGCCGGCUCUGCAAGUCUUCGGUUAAAUCCACCUGCUCAACAGAUGGGCUGCUGGAGAUACUACAGAGCUAGGGAGUGGGAGAGGCAGACGGUAUUCAGUGGGUAGGGGUAAAAUCCUCUGAUCCAUUGAGGACCACCAGUGGCGAAGGCGGUCUGCCAGAACACGUUCGACGGUGAGGGAUGAAAGCUGGGGGAGCAAACCGGAUUAGAUACCCGGGUAGUCCCAGCUGUAAACGAUGCAAACUCGGUGAUGCAUUGGCUUAUGGCCAAUGCAGUGCCGCAGGGAAGCCGUUAAGUUUGCCGCCUGGGAAGUACGGACGCAAGUCUGAAACUUAAAGGAAUUGGCGGGGGAGCA
rnacentral:rRNA from 1 species